GAAGUACUCCCUCCGUCCCAAAAUUCUUGUCUAGAUUUGUCUAGAUACGGAUGUAUCAAGUCACAUUUUAGUAUUAGAUACAUCCGUAUCUAGACAAAUCUAAGACAAGAAUUUUGGGACAGAGGGAGUAGUUG
rnacentral:pre_miRNA from 1 species